AUGAUGAGGGACUCUGGGAGUUGUAGUUCAAAAUUAUUAAGAAUUCCGGGAGUUGUAGUUCAACAUUCUAUGGAAUUCUGGGACGUACAGUUCAACCUUCUGGCGAAUUCCGGGAGUUUUUGUUCAAAAUUCUGGGGGAUUCUGGCAGUUGUAGUCCACACACCCCCAACAGCUGUGUUGGUUACCUGCUUUCGCACUCAGACUAAGCGAUACCACAAGGUGCUUGUGAUGGCCAAUGAUGCUGGGAACGUAACACACAUUUUCCCCCCUCAACCUCCUGGGAGGAAGAUCAUGUCUUUGAGGUUUCAAAAGGGAAAGGGGUGUUCCAGCGCACCCCACCCGUCACUGCGGGUGCUCCGUCAUGGGGGUUCAACCGAGCCACCACCUUCUGAACGUCUUCCCUGCCUCGCUUCAUUUCUUCGUCCUGUGGGUCAUGGAAAGACCCAAGCCAAGGGAGCGGUCAGCGUCAAGAUACGGCAUUCCUUCCAUUGGGGGAAAACUUCUGUUUGAUUUCUCACCAUUUCCAUGGAAAAAAUAACAGGACACACCUUGCUCACCUAGACAGCCGGUCUACAGAGUGAGUACUUUUCCAUCCAUUGAAAUAACCCUCUUGGCACCUCUGAGGUCAUUGGUGGCCACAGAGUUGAAACCUGCAAAACUCUGGCCCCAGUCCGGCUACUAGCCCAGAAUAUUCUAAAGUAACUAAAAGGCAACUAAAUUACUUCGGUCCAAGGCAUUGGCCAUGUGGAGUAGUGGUUAAACUGCAGUACUGCAGCCAAGACUCUGCUCACCACCUGAGUUUGAUCCAGUCCAAGGUGUUGGCCAUGUGGAGUAGUGGUUAAACUGCGGUACUGCAGCCAAGACUCUGCUCACCACCUGAGUUUGAUCCCGAUAGGUAGCCGGCUCAAGGAUGACUCAGCCUUCCAUUCUUCUAAGGUUGGUAAACUGAGGAGCCAGCUUGUGGAGUGGGGGGAAAAUAUGUAGCCCACAUAAUUAUUAAAUAAAUAAAUACAUUGUAAACCGCCUAGAGAGAGU
rnacentral:lncRNA from 1 species